GCAGAGUUGGUGUAGUGGUUAUCAUGUCAGCCUUACACGCUGAAGGUCACGAGUUCGAACCUCGUACUCUGCA
rnacentral:tRNA from 1 species